rnacentral:sRNA from 1 species
CACCAACAAUGGGCUAGGCCCUCCCCAUCGAUCGCUAAUUAAGGUACUACAGCUGGACCUUACAGAGGCUUAUGUUCUCAUUUGAGGUUCCCUCCUCUCAGAUGACUUUAGAUCAUGUCAAGUUGACAGAAAACUAUCCGGUGUGCUCACCUAUCUCAAAAUCACCAGACAUGCUCCUGCUCCAGUUCCAUGGUACAUGAUGUUCCUUCUGCCCAUUCACUCAUGCCCCAGGCACCACCGAUUUACCCUCUCCAUUCCUUGGUGUAUUUACCUAAUGGUGACUUCUGAGGAAGGCUUUAAGAAGCCCCCUUAUUAAAAUACAAACUUUCCCAUUCUCACAGUCCAGGUCCCCUUUACUCCCUCUGUUGUGACAAGUCAUCAUGACUGUUAUAGCGGUCAACAUCUGCAUGGUAAACAUCUAACUAAUUUGCUAUUUCCAGUGUUCUCCUCUUGAAUGUAAACUCUUUUCGAGCAAAAUUUUUUUCAUUGAACAGCACUUUUUUUUUUUAUUUUGUGUUAAACCUCAAUUUUAUAAGCCUUUCAUGCAAAUACUUUAAUGCCCCUUAGUGAAUCAUAAAUUUCAGGAAAAUCUUACCUGUUUUGCUUGGCUUGUUCAUAACCCAAAUAAUACUUUUUGACAUGCACAGAAAAUUCUUUUAAGUUUGGAAAGUGUGUGCAGUUUCUUUUGUUUUCAUAUCCAGCUCCUGCAUCCAUUCCCAGGGACAAUGGCUUAUCUUUCAUUUUGCACAAGGCUGUGAGAAGACCCAAGUCCAGUUAACUCUGGAAGCGUUCUAAGCACAGUGUAGAGCCAGGGAGACUUUCUACUUGGUUGAAACGGACAAAUGUGUUCACUGGACCGGUCGUAGUCCGAGAUAACCCAGGCAAACAGUGAACUAAAGAAAUGUAGGCUUCUCAGUUUACACUUGUAAAUUCUGAAUAACAGAUUCUCCUGCUCCUACUAGUCUUCACAAUGGGCCCAGGAAAAGUCAGAAAUUUCCACUUUGCAGAUGAUCAAUGUUAGCCUGGGUUAAAUACCUUCUCAGGAGGACACUGUUAUUCCUGGCUAAUGAACCAUCCUGCAGUCUUUUUUUUGAUUCAAGGAGUUAGCAUCCACCAUGAUCAUGGGCACAUUCUUAGCCAUUAAAAACCAGGGAAGUGGCUUGGGACUGGAACAGAUCAAGUACUGUUUCUACUAUCUAUUGUAUUUAAGCGGUGUUCAUGGUAUCCAUCAAACAAGAGCUUUGUAAUAUUUACUCUCUUCUAUUUUCCGUUAUAAGUUUCUUGGUGUGUUCUUAACUCAUCUUUUAUCACGCUGACCCUGUUCACUUCCAUCCAUACCCCCUUCUGGAUUUUGUACUGUACCUUUCACUUAGCAAGGACUUUCUGUUGGACAAACAAAAGAGCAUCUAAGGGUUACUAAAAACAAAACUAGUCAGGUCGGGCGGCCCAGGAUUGCAGUCCCAGCUACUCAGGGAUCUGAGACAAGAGGAUUGCAAGUUAAUAACCUGCCAGGGCCAGAAUAAGUUUCAGGCCAGUCUGGACAAAUCAAAGGGACCCAGUUUCAAAUUCUUAAAAAGUAUAAAGAAAACUGAGGAGUAGCUCAGUGAUCCUUGCCUUGUUUGAGCUGAAGUGUCCAGAAAAGAGCCACACCUAUGGUAAGGAUUCUACAAACCAGGUGACAUAUUAGAACUCUAUGACUGCACAGUAGGAGUUACAAAUUAUCUGGAGUCAAAUUAUCUCAGGUUAGUUUUUAGCCGUUUUAGUAGUCCUUCAUUGAAUACCACCAUGUCUAAUAUCACAAGUUUUGUGGUAAUGAGCUAUUCCAAGUGUAAUGGGUCCGGGUGCCUGCUGGCCUGUGGAAGCCUGUAACACAUGAUGUUUCCUGCUCUAUCAAUCUGUGAUGUCAAAUCAUAGAACCAGAUGUGAUGAUCCAGCUUACGGAACACCCAUACAGUGUACCCAACCUCAGCACAAGAUGCACAACAAAUGUUUCUUUGGUAAACAGGUGACAUUUCCCAGAACUACAAUAGGCCUUAAAGGUCUAUGUUACCAAUGUUUAUUUACCAGGAUUUUGUUUGUACCCACAGAGAACACACUUUCUUCAGAAGCGGUGGUAUAAAUAGGCUCGCAGAAGCAACGCAGAUAGACUAUUUCACGUUGGCGAUGAAAAGGAGCGGCAUGGGAGAGAGUUAUAACGGAGUUGGCCUUCUCACCCACAUGGGCUUCUCUGCCUUCAGUGCCUUCAGAAUGGUUAGAAGGAGAAAGGUAGAGUUUGAGACCUGGGCAUAGCGUCUCUGAAGUACUUGUGAGGGGAACUCGCCAGCUCUCCAGCCACUGUCUGGACUUCUGCCAGUGUCCCAGGAAAUGCCCCCUUUAAGACUGGGGUCUUUGAGGUUGGCUACAAACAAGGUGACAGAACACGUGAGGUUCCCAGCUGAGCCAGGACUAGAGAGGCCACCGAUGUGCAGCUGUCUUUUCCAGGUAGUCGCCUGAGGUCCAGAGUAUGGGGAGGGAAAAACAUCUGGAAAUGUCUCCAGUUUAUUUAGGUCAGGGGUGGGUCUUAUCUCUCCGUUUAUUCUCCUGAGUCUGGCCCCUGCCUGGGAAGCGGCCACAGGCAUUUCCUUUAUCUAGUAUUUCUCUCUUCUCUAGAAGCUCAGCAAAGAGAGCUGCCAGAGCUCCUGGGGACUCCUACCAUUUCCCCAGUCUCCAGGGAGAUGGCGCCUGAAUGAAAGGAUCUAAAAGGAGAAACACAAACAUACACACUCUAGUUUGGUUUCUGUUCUGUUCAGUUGCCAGAAUAUUUUCUGGUCUGGGCUCCCACAAUCGACAACUUUAUUAUCGUCUCUGGUCUUUUCCUCGCCUUCCUCAUCCCCGGCUCGUGUUUGCAGUUGCCAGUUAUUACCUCUGAGGGGAGGAAAACAUCUGAAAGUAAACCGGUAAUUACUUGAAGAAACCCAGUAUCUAUCUACUUGGAAAGUUUGUCUCAACCUCAAUAUGGAAAAAGUAAGAAAGCUAUUCCAGGAGGUACUGGAGGGCAAAGUAUCCCUUCCUGUCCCCAGCCGCUUCUCAUCUAUCAGGGAGCCCUUAAUUCAUUAGGGUCCUGAUGUUAAGACCAAACUUCCUUCUCAGUGCAAAGGGGCAGGGCUCGUCUGCUCCUCCCCUGUGCCAUUCCUCCAAGUCCUGGAAAGAUGAAUCCAUCUUUUCUGUUUUUGCCGAUGAUGAGGAAGAUAAAGUACCAAGUGUGUUCAUAGUGUAAGGACGGACAGCAUACCUUUGUUUUAAACAGUAUCUCAGUCAUAUUUUGAAAUAAUAUGCUGAGUGUUUUUUCUUUAACCUCCUGCCUCCCUUUUAGCAGUAGAUCUCUAAAUACAUUGGGAUGGAUCUAAUUAUUAAUCUGAAAAAGAAGACAAUUAAAAUACAAGAAUGGGGGCUGGGGAUUUA